UUAAAGGUGGCUGAAGUUUUAAGCAUUAGAUUGUAAAUCUAAAUAUGAGUAUCUCUCUCUUUAAA
rnacentral:tRNA from 1 species